AGUAAGUGAAGUCCACAUAACUGUGUUCUUUAGCAGAAAGGUGUUUUAUUAAAGAAGCAUAUGGACAAGGAACUAUCUCUGAAAUGUUUUCAGAGCUUCUCUGGUGUUACAUGCAUAGUAAAUAUUUUCUUUAAAUUAGAUGAAAAAUGUUUUAAAACAGAGAAUUUAUUCAAGAAUCUCAGCUUCUGCUUUGCAAAUGAGUUGAAAGCUUAAGGAUUUGACCCCAACUUUCAAAAUCCAGAAUUCACCCUGCUGUUUCUCCAUGAGUCUGACCUGCAUCAACUGCCUCCCUUAUUCUGGGAUUCCAGUUGUGGAGCUCAAGGACAAGUCCAUUCUGGGCUGGCUGUAUCCAACUUCUUUAGUCCAACUAUAUCCCCACUGGAAGCCAGGCUCUUUCCAACAGCUGUCACCCAUGCCUCUUUCUAUGUUUGUUAUCUGUCUCUAGGUUCUGGUAACUACUUCCUUCCCUUGCCCCUUCUGGCCUAGGGUGCUACCAAUCCCUCCUCCAAAUCCAACUGUCACUAGCCUCAAAGUACUUGUAGCUUCCUCACCUUACUUUCACCUUAAUAAAUGGUCCCCCUACUAUCUCUCUUCAAAG
rnacentral:lncRNA from 1 species